rnacentral:misc_RNA from 1 species
CCGAUACCCACACGUACAGAGGACGCACGUCCGACGUACAGGCAGUUGUUGGAUGAACACACGUUGGUUGAUGACUGGUUACGGAAAAACAGUAUACUCGUUGACGCUUCGGGGUACCUGUCGCACGUCGGCCUUUUUUGCGUGCGGUGAGCAGGCCUCGGGCUUCGGCCCCCGGUCGGCGAAGGUCCAACGAACCGUCGGCGCGAAAGCGCCGUCGGUCGCCCCGUCGCAUUCUCAUCAUGUCAGUUACCGGUGUCGUACGGUCGCAAUGUUACACUGUCAGGACAACGAGAGUUACACAGAC